rnacentral:rRNA from 1 species
UACGAAGGGGGCUAGCGUUGCUCGGAAUCACUGGGCGUAAAGCGCACGUAGGCGGGUCUUUAAGUCAGGGGUGAAAUCCUGGAGCUCAACUCCAGAACUGCCUUUGAUACUGAGGAUCUCGAGUCCGGGGGAGGUGAGUGGAACUCCGAGUGUAGAGGUGAAAUUCGUAGAUAUUCGGAAGAACACCAGUGGCGAAGGCGGCUCACUGGCCCGGUACUGACGCUGAGGUGCGAAAGCGUGGGGAGCAAACAGG